UACGUAGGAGGCAAGCGUUGUCCGGAGUUACUGGGCGUAAAGCGCGUGUAGGUGGUGGGACAAGUCUGCUGUGAAAGCGCCUGGCUUAACCGGGCGAGGUCGGCGGAAACUGUUCGACUCGAGGACGGUAGAGGGGGGUGGAAUUCCCGGUGUAGUGGUGAAAUGCGUAGAGAUCGGGAGGAACACCUGUGGCGAAGGCGGCCCCCUGGGCCGGCCCUGACACUGAGACGCGAAGGCGUGGGGAGCGAACAGG
rnacentral:rRNA from 1 species